GUGUUAUUGUGAAAUCGCUGACUGAUCAUUACUGUAGGUAGCAUUAUUAUUAUGGAUUUACUAAUCACUUUGUUAUCAUUUAACGAUUUGUACACAAUGCUUUACAUGCAAUACCAUAUAGGACUAAUCAGAAGUAAGUCCAACUGCUUUCAAUUGUGCUUAUUCCCAGGUAAAUGGAUAUAAGAUUGCAACAUAAAUCUCUUUGAUUGAAUUGUGCCCAGUGCUUUUUUUCUGGGGGGACGCAUACCCCUAAACAUUUUGUGAAUCUAAGUUUGGCCUCAUUGAGGGGCAGUAUUUCAAUAUGAGUAGGAAAAUGAGAGUACCCCUAAACAUUUUUUUUUUUGAAAAAAAGGACUGAUUGUGCCUAUUGAUAAUAGUGGUUGCUGCUAUUAUUUGUAUUAUUUAAAAGUGGCAGAGUGUGCUAAAGGGGGGGCGGGAUAUCACAUAAUGAAGUACAACUAAUCCCUAAUGCAGGAUAAAUUACCUUAACUCCUAGGAAACUAAAGCUCUUUAAAUUAAUCCCCAUUAUUUGGCAUAUGAAUGAAUAUGUUUACAUUUGGAAUAAAAGCCAUAUUAAACUUCUCACCUUUCCAUGGUGCUGAUUUACGAUUUAGUCUUUCUGGAGGUAUGUGAAUAAGAAAUCUCAGCAUUUGUGUGUGUUUUGCAGAGCAAGAAAUUCUUUUCAUUCCCCAAGACUAGAAUAAUAUUCCACUGAAUUUCUAUUAUUUUUUCUUGGUUUAUUGGACUAGUUGCACAGAUGUCCACUUUUCCUGUGCCAGCUGUGCAGAGAGCUGCUUCAAACUUAGACCAAAAUGUUGACAGAAUAAUAUAACUCAGGCCAGACAUACUGCAUUUUACACUAGAGGUCAUAUGAAAAAGUACUGGCAGCCUAUAGCACAAGCUGUUUUACAUAAGCAUACAUUUGGUAUGUGAAUUACUCAAAGAAUGCUGUGGGAGGGAGGGGGUAAGGGAACAAACUUCACAGCCGUUGUAGAAGAUGUAACAAUUGUUCAUCAAAUUACCUCAGAGUCUGUUUAUGCCUAUUUAAGAAGUGUGAGAUAUCAUUACCCACUAAAAGGUGUCAGAAACAAUAGUCUCUUCACAAUACACUAUGCAGGAUUCCCAAAGUAGGAUGGAAACUGUUUCAGAUAAUCUAAGUUCUCACAUUUUCUCCUUUCUCAUGGCUCUGAUUCACCCACAAAAAGAACACACAAAAGAAAUAAUGUAAAGGCUGUGGGCAAAUCUUCUAGGAUAAUUCAGAGAGCAAGAGUCAAAUGGUGAUCUCGCCCUGAAAUGACAAGAGAAUGCCAGUUGCAAAUGUUCAGUUCUCCCAAAUCAGGCAAAUUAGGGGGGUUUUCCUCACCCCAACAGGCUUCUUUUUCGUUCCAGAAUAGUCUCCAUAUUCUUAAACAAUAAUGGGGAUCCCAAGCCCUGAUUCUCAUAGCCUGGUGUUUUUAUUCAGUAACCCUAAACCAAGUGCUAAUAAUUUGAUGAAAUGGGGGGGGGGGGAACAGUCUGGAUUGGUCUUUAAGCAUAUGUUAAUAAAUCUGUUCCUAAAUUGGAGAAGCAAAGGCUAAGGAGUAAACCCUACACAAAUCUGGAUUGGAGUCCCUAAGAUGCUUGAAUGGUACCUUGUACACCUCCUUCCAACAAUGCCUGCAGUCAGGCUGGUGCCAAAUGUAUUGCUAUGCUUUCCUUUGGACCACAUCAGUGAGACCAAGAGGGGGUCAUGUCAUCUGGGCAGCCCAGGAUCUCCAUACACACUGCCCAGGUUUGUGCCCUGGGGAGGUCACUUUGGUGCUGCUAAAACAGCAGUUUGACUUCACUCCUGGAAGCACACUCCAUUGCCUCUCAAGACAGAUGGAUGCCAACAACAAAACAACCUGUGUUGUAGUAAAUCAUGCUCAGUUCUUUUAUUAAUACCUGGGAGCAGUGGCAUAGUGUGGGGCUUUGCCCCAGGCGCAAAAUUGUUAGGGAGUACAAAAAUUCAACACCCAGUGCUGCCUCAAUACAGCUGCAUGCUUCCAUUGCUGGGCUCCGUUGAAAACGGCUUCUCCAUGCGAAGCAGGAAGUGACCUCUCCAGACAAUGAGAUGACUCUUUUUAUCUCUGCAGCUGUGAUUUCCUGGGUGAUGCGGAUGCCAUUAGCCAGCUGAAUGCACAUGUGUACACCGUCUGUUUCCCUCCCUCCUGUUUCCCCCCUCCCCUCAUGGCCCCAGGCACAGGCAACCCAUGCUACACCUUGGAGACAAUUAUCUGUACAUCAGUUAAUUGGUCAGGGCGAAAAUUCUUCUCAGAUGAAGGAAGUUUUUUUUAUUCUCUCUCUAUAUCACCUAUAUAUUAUGUCUUUCCUCCAAGGAGACUAGACUGACAUAAGAGGCACUACAGGAAAGGUGAAAGCAUAUGGGAAACAUUCGCCUCCCAUCCAUUUUUAGCCAAGAUUCGUUACCUAUGAACAGGGAGAGAGGGUUCAUAUAGUACACAGAGAGGGGCCUGCCUCUCUCAUAAUAUUUCAUACACCAGCUAACUGAAUAUAGAUAUAUAGUGAAAGAUUAAUGUAAAUGUAAAUAUCCUAUCAAAUUGAACUUAGAAUCCAUCACAGCAGUCAAAAGCAUGUAACUGACCACAAAUAACCACAUUCCACUGGUUUACUCUAACUUAUCCUGAAUAAAAUAAUGCCACAAAACAUGGAAUAUUUGCUCAAGUGAAAGAUCUGUUGAGUUUAAGGGUAUGAAGUUGUAACAUAGCCAAGGGUUGGUACCCUUGCCCUCCAAACAUCACAAGCAGAAAGAUCUUAAAGGGUGAAUGCAGAUGAUCUUAAAGAUCAUUAGGUGACUAAUUAAACAUUUGAGACAAACUGAGUUUGUUAAUAAGAAAAGCUUACUUUCUGGAAACAGCGUAGGAUGUAUAUUUUAGAUAAAAUAAAAAUUGUGAUGGUUGAGUUUGAUGGUUGUUAAAUGUUUGUUCUUACCCAGGUUUCCCUGCAAGUUCUCAUGAAAGAUAGUUGUGCCCAUUCCAUUCAGCUAUAAAUGGGGGAUUUGAUGUGUUUUAUCGAGGAACUAAUACAUGACAGCCAUAUAUGGGAAAUCACUCAUUACUUGUGAAUAGAAAGUCAUUUUCAUAAGGAGCUGCCUUGUACCAAGUCAGACCAUUGCUCCAUCUCAUGCAGCAUUGUCUAUAUGACUGGAAGCAGCUCUCUAGGGUUUUGAAUUUGAACCUUCCACUGCCUAACAGGAGAUGUCCAGGAUUGAACCAGAGACCUUCAUGCUAAGCAUACGGUCUACCACUGAAAAAGUGUCCUUUCAUCAACUGCCAUUUUCCAAACAAUAAUAUGUUUUUAGGUAUGACCAAUAAAUUAAUAUGCUCACAUUAAUAUAGUCACUCAGACGGAUACUUGCCAAAUAUUAGAAACAGAGAAAUACUAAAACAGAGAAAUAAGAAUGCUUUCCCCAACUUGCAGUACAUUUAACAAUAACAUUAAUUGCUUACUUAUCUUUUCAGCAUUAUUCCUUCAUGAAGACUCAGUCUCUACAUUUCCUUAUCGCUUACACUCUCAUUACAGUAUGACCAGGAUUUAUGAGUUGAUUACUGUGUGAAUGUUAGACCACAAAGUAUCAUUUAUGUUCUACCCUGACCUUUACUGUGACCUCUGGGGGAUUACAGUAAGAAGAAAACGUGUGAACUUGGCAUAGCCAAAGGGUGUAAUACAACCCUACAGAACUGAUAAUAAAGCAAGGCUUCACUUUUCAGUGACAAAGGACAGUUUGAAAAGAAGGCCACUAAAGAACCGCAAGAGAAUCUGAUGUUUUUAGUGUGCAUAUGUCAUGUGUAUUAAAAUAGUAUCCUCAGCAUCUUGAGAUAUUUUCAGUGGACCGUUAUUGUAAUACUGAAAACAGUCUAAAAAAUGGCAAAUAUUGACAUGUUUUUAACUUAUCAUAAAUACAUUCUAAGGAUCUAUAAGGAAAACCAGAAUUUUGCAGCUUGAAAUAUCUGAUGCCCACACCAUAAACAUAAAUACUUGUGUUCCUAAAAAUUAAAUACUUUACUCCAGAUAAGGUCUAGCAAGCACUCAGUAGACUCAGUGUAGAAUAGUGAGUUUGCAGUAGGCAUGUUAUCUGUUCCAAAGGAUCCAUUUUUCCCAUCCCAUCAAGCACUAUAUGAUGCAACAAGUCCAAUAUAUCACCCUAAGAGAACUCAGGCUCAAACGAUAUCAGAAGCACAAAGUAAGAAAUAAGAAAUUGUCAUUGUAUACUCCAUGCCAAGUCAUAUGUCAAAGACACAUAUGUGCAGUAUAUUAUUAAAGUGAGCAUUUAGAAAACAUUCACCCAUUUUAUAGAUAGGAAAAACUGAGGCAAAUAGUCUAUACUAAAGAGAUUCCAUGACCAAGAAAUCAAGACACAUGUAAACAAGACUACAUGGAAGUGAGCAAACUUUCAGAUCAAGUGAAUCUUCACAACAUCCUUCUGCAUGACAGAAUUUGCUCUGGUCGCUAUAUGACCCACCCAACUAACACAGACCAAUAUGGCUUCUCCGUGCUAUUUCCACUGCUAUUGUUUUCAAGUAAAUGAUUAUUGUGAAUGAAGACAAACAAACAAAUAUACCAACCCCAAACAGUAACUUUUUAUUCAUCGCCACUACAAACAUCUGCUGCCAAGGGCCACCUAGUAUUAGGCCUGUCUUAUGGCUACAGAUGAAAGGGAUGUAACUGAAAGGAAAUACCAGCUAAGGGAAAGAAGAGAAAUAGGAUAUUUUGUUCAGACACACUGAAAGUAUUACAAAAGCAAAUCUGUAUGGUUUCCAGAAUCUGCCUGUCAGUAAAUAGAAGAUAAUUCAGUUAUCCUAUCUGAUACAACAUUGCUGUCUGUUAUUUAAUUUGAUGAAGGUAGCUCUCUAUUAGCAUACUAAUAAAUGUCUACAAUAUUUUCCUACAUAAACUAUGAGCUUCUGCAUGUUAUUAAUUAACCUUAUGUACAGAAAAAAGAACUUGAGUCCCCCCCCCCAAAAAAGGAUGAAUACUACAUUUGCUUUUUCUGUUGUAUCUAGUAUAUGACUAUUUGCUGUUUUAAUAGCCUUAACUGAGAAUUACUAGUGGCAACUGCUAAUUUUUCCAGCUUCUAUUGAUAGUUUAUCGGUUUUCGAUGCCCUUUGUUGAACUCCUUCAAGGUAGACCAAUACUAAGCAAACAAAAAGAGUGAUUUGUACUAACUGUGCCACAGAUACUUUGGAAUGAAAUAAACUUAUAUCUUAUAUGAGUGUAUAGAAUGAUGACAGGAGACUUCUAAGCAUAUGCAGUAGCUGUACAUUAGCAGUGUUACUGGGAACCUUUUUUUCUGUAAAAGGACUGAUUUUGAGGGACUGCAGCUGGGACCUCUCUGUGAACUUCAUAUGUAAUGAAAACCUCUCCCCCCCCCACCCAAAUACUAAUUUAAAAACACUGCUUAUGGCUCUGCACACUAUGCAUUUAAUGUAAUGUGUUGUUAGUUCAUCAGUAGAGGGGUGUGUGUGUGGUGAAAUGCUCUGUUGGUGCAUGGUUUGUUUUGAAAUCUUGCUAACACUUGCUAACACACCGUUCAACAAUUACACUUUUCAAGUAAAUAUUUUGCCAAAGGAGGAACAGCAGAUAAAUCUUGAUCCCUUUGUGGCUUUUCUGUAUAUCCCUGUUUCCAACAAAAAGACCCCACUAGCGGCUCUGCCUUAUCACUAGGCCUUGGCCUUGCAAAAUGACUAGGCCACAACCAUGCCAGGCUAUGCACUAAUAAUAAAUCAACUGUGUUCCUAUUUAAUAUACUUAAAUAACUUUAACAGUCCAAGUCUACCUGCAUUUAAGUGCCUGGUGUUCUGCGCAGAGUCUCUGUCCCCCUUCGCGAACUCCUCGAAUAAUCCUUUCUGCCACAAAAUUGCUGGUUGUGGGCCUUUGUGGCAUUGAAUCUGGCCUGGGCCCCUUCUCCAUUGCUGGGCUCCGUUGAAAACGGCUUCUCCAGAGGCAGAAGCCAAAUAUGACAGGCUUCCUAGCCUAGGCAGAAGGCCAAAACCAAAGCCCACAAUCCCUGAGUGUAAAGGGCAGAGCAGGCCAAGGAGGCGAGAGAGAGGCCAUUUUGGAUGUGUCAGGCGACAGGCAGCCUCACAGCACUGAAGUAGGCCAGAAAAGCCUGAUAUAUAUCUCAGAAGGUUAUUUAGUCCGCAGAUAUGUAAUCAUUAGAAUCAGCCCAGCUUCCCAGGCUCACUUUUGAAGCACCCCUGGUACAGAGGUGACCUGUUCCGUUGCUGAGCGGUGGUGUGGGUGUUUCAAUGUCUGGGGUUUCGAAGGGUGUGUGGGUUUGUCGGGUGUUUGGGUAUUUGUGGCAUGAGGUGCGGUUGUGGGUUUACAGGGAGGGAUACAUGCAUGGUAGUGGUCCCCCUCUAGGGCUUGGACUACUGGAAAGGUUUAACACCUGGCCUGUGCCUCACAGAGGUGCUUUGCUGCAGUUACUAUUUCUCAACAUGGCCCACCCCACAGGGUUGUUGUGAUAUUAAAUACUGGAAGAGAAGCACCACUGCUCCCCUCCCCAGGCAAAGUUCCUCUAGGGUGUGUUUUUUAUACUGGGGUGCUGUGUUUGUGAGGGGUGUGUGGGACUUGCUCAGACUUCUAUAAUGCACAGCCACAUACUGUAUAUAUUUUUCUUAUACAUAUAUAAACACAAGGCUAUGCUGACCCAAUACGGAAUUACUUAAAAUUUUUUUGAAAGUGAUUUAAAUGCCACACAGUCAUCGGCAUCAUACAAAUAAUUGAAGAUGUGUUUCUCAGUACCAGCCCCUGCUGCCGCCUUUGCUCUGGAUUGAUACAUGUUUUGGAGGGAUAUGCAGAAGUUUUGAAGGCAUAUAUCCUACUACACUUCAUAAUGUCCCUUGGCAAUGAGUUCCACAGGUAGCUGUAAGCAUGAAAAAGCAACCAUCAAAUUUGCUUGUUUUAAUUCAUGUCCCAUUAAUUUUUUAAGUCCAUCCCCAUUCCGUGUGUGUGAUACAAAGGGAGUAUGUGUAUGUUGUGUGUUUCCCUUUUGCUACAGAUGCAAAAUUGAAAUUAAAACCAUGUUGCCCUACAGCCAAGCCACAAUGUACUCAGUUGUUGAUAACAUUAAUGAAGCACCACAAUGUGAUAAUACUUAGCAUUGGAAGGGGAGGGAGGGGUUACCGGUUUGUAGGGUUUUUUGUUCUUGUUUUUAUCAUGUAUUUUGUGCUUUUAUGUUGCAUUUUUAUGUUGUGAACCUCCCGGAUAUCUGCGGAUGGAGGGCAGUAUAAAGAAAGAAAGAAAGAAAGAAAGAAAGAAAGAAAGAAAGAAUAAUUACUAUCCCAUUUUGUCUCACUGGUGCUUUAACUUCAGAUAUUUUGACUAGGCAGGAAACAAGGAGCCUUUGUAUGUUUUUUCUUCCCAAAGCACUAAGAAUGCUUGCAAUAUACUUUCGGAAGGGAAAAAAGAAUGCAACUCCAAAUAUCUUGUCAUUUUUUCCCCUUUCAAAGUAGAGAUCCAUGGGAAAGAAUACUUUUGCAACCAUCAAACACCUUCGGAACAGGAAAAAGACCCAUUUGUAAGUUUGAAAAUGUUAGCUAAAUAUAAUGAAUCAAAUAUAGGCUCCCCCACCCUUCUAUAAAAUUUUGUCUGUGUCCAGAGUAAAGUGUGAACUCUGUUCUGAAUGUCAUUAUAGAAGAAAACUGUGGUUAAGCUGUUCAUUUUAAAUAUAAUUGAAUUGCUUGGGCACAUUAAAAUGUUGAAAUGUUUUAAGCAGAGGUAGGAGAAAUAAUUUUAACGAUGUUCUCUUUCAGAUAGUUAAUUAGCCUGCCAUGUAUGAAAGUGUAACAAGAACACCACCUACUGUAAAAGGGAAUGUUCUACACUCAGGAUGCUAAUUUAUUCAUGUCUGCACAAAGAGGGAAGACCGAGACUGUUAACCCUUGUCUGCCAGAGACUUUUGCAUACUCUCUAAAAUGAAUAUCACUGAAGACUCCUGCAAAGUUUAUUUGCUAGACAUCAUGAUGAGAGCAGAAUAACCAGUGUAGAUAUCAGAACAGCAGAAUAACAUAUGAUAUGUUUAAAAUUAAUCUGGACUGAUGUGUGAAGUGGCAAUUUACAUUGCAAAUAAAUCUUAAAACAGCUAUGAGUAUUUGCUUGGAACUAAGC
rnacentral:lncRNA from 1 species